rnacentral:rRNA from 1 species
UGAGGAAUAUUGCGCAAUAGCCGCAAGGCUGACGCAGCAACGCCGCGUGGGUGAUGAAGGCCUUCGGGUCGUAAAGCCCUGUCAGGUGGGAAGAAAGGCCUGGAGAGGAAAGGUUUCAGGUUUGACGGUACCACCAGAGGAAGCACCGGCUAACUCCGUGCCAGCAGCCGCGGUAAUACGGAGGGUGCGAGCGUUAUUCGGAAUUACUGGGCGUAAAGCGCGUGUAGGCGGGGAGACAAGUCUGAUGUGAAAGCCCUGGGCUUAACCUGGGAAGUGCAUUGGAAACUGUUUUUCUUGAGUACUGGAGAGGAAGGGGGAAUUCCCGGUGUAGAGGUGAAAUUCGUAGAGAUCGGGAGGAAUACCAGUGGCGUAGGCGCCCUUCUGGACGGUAACUGACGCUGAGACGCGAAAGCGUGGGGAGCAAACAG